CGGAGACGCCGAUGCGAGCCCCGGGAAGAGUUUUCUUUUCUCUGUAAGGAGAUCGAGUCCCUGGAAUGGGUUCGCCCCGAGAUAGGGAUGGUGGCUCCGUAGAGCAGUGCGGUUCUUGCGCUGUCCGGUGCGCUCGCGUCGGCCCUUGAAAAUCCGAGUGAGGGAGUGUGAUUUUCGUGCCGGACCGUACCCACAUCCGCAGCAGGUCUCCAAGGUGAACAGCCUCUAGUCGAUGGACCAAUGUAGGUAAGGGAAGUCGGCAAAACGGAUCCGUAACCUUGGGAUAAGGAUUGGCUCUGAGGACUGAGCCGGUCGGGCUGGGGACCUGAAGCAGGAACGGCACUGCACCGGGACUGGGCGGGGCUCGCCGUUGACGCGGCGCGGCCAAGCCCGGACCAGCGUCGGGACCUUCCUGUGGAAAGCCUCAGCUGCGCGGCGUCCGAGGGCUUCGUGCCCAAAGUGCUAUGCUUCGGCCGGCAAAAAACAGUCAACUCAGAACUGGCACGGACCGGGGGAAUCCGACUGUCUAAUUAAAACAAAGCAUUGCGAUGGCCGCUGGUCGGUGUCGGUGUUCAAGGCAGCUUAGCCGGCUUCCAAUCCGAAUUUUGCGAGCGGAUUGAAAGUGCCCGCGACUGUGUUUAGUUGCGCCGGCGGUCACCAGGGGCCGGUACGUUCCACCCGUCUUCGUGGAUUUCACCGCCUGUGUCUGACCUACAGCGGGGGAAACUUUUUCCCAUUCCUUUUUCAUUUUUUUUAUAAGU
rnacentral:ncRNA from 1 species